GACGAACGCUGGCGGCGUGCUUAACACAUGCAAGUCGAACGGUGAAGCGCCUUCCUUUUUGGUGGGUGUGGAUGAGUGGCGAACGGGUGAGUAACACGUGAGUAACCUGCCCCCUUCUUCUGGAUAACCGCAUGAAAGUGUUGCUAAUACGGGAUAUUCUGAGUCUGUCGCAUGAUGGGUCUGGGAAAGAUAUUGUUUCGGUGGGGGAUGGGCUCGCGGCCUAUCAGCUUGUUGGUGGGGUGAUGGCCUACCAAGGCGGUGACGCGUAGCCGGCCUGAGAGGGUGGACGGUCACACUGGGAAGGAGACACGGCCCAGACUCCUACGGGAGGCAGCAGUGGGGAAUAUUGCACAGUGGGCGCAAGCAUGAUGCAGCGACGCCGCGUGAGGGAUGGAGGCCUUCGGGUUGUGAACCUCUUUCGCCAGUGAAGCAGGCCUGCCUCGUUUGUGGGUGGGUUGACGGUAGCUGGAUAAGAAGCGCCGGCUAACUACGUG
rnacentral:rRNA from 1 species